GAGAAUCGUGAUAAUUGGAUUAAUUUUCUGCAUAGUUCUAUUCAAUUACCAAUUUGCAUUUAUAGCCAUACAUAACAGGAAUUAAGAAAACAGAAUUAACAAAACAGAAUGACAAACAAUUAACAAGGAAUUAAUUACACCACUAAUCCAUUACUACAGAUCACGUUGUCCACUCUGCAGUAAUGCAUGAAUUAUCCUGCAUGAACCCACGUUCCUGAGACAACACUCUGGUCGUGAACUCCCUGCAUGAACCCCUGCAUGAACCCACGUUCUUGUACCCAUAUUCUGGAGAUGUUAGCCACGUUUGAUGACUGGCCACGUUUGUAUCCAUAUCAG
rnacentral:lncRNA from 1 species